AUCCAGCUGACCAGUCCGAGAUAGGACGAAACGCGUGUCCUGCAU
rfam:Schistosoma mansoni, Puerto Rico, WGS project CABG01000000 data, contig: 0248